GUAGGGCAAUGCGGAGGCUGCAAGGCAUAGCCUAGGCCUUGAAGAAACGUCAGAGCUGUGUGAGAGAGGGUUGCAGAGUGGAUGUGGGUGGAAGGGAUUCUAGUGGAAGAAAGCUUCAAGAGGCAGUACUGGGACUUGCGGCAAAAAGGAGAGUAUAAGAAAGCAACAGAAAGGAGAGUAAAAGAGAGAAGGCUGGAGAGUAAGGUGGGACCAUAUCAUGAGUCCAGGAGUUAGAAUUUUCAUGUCACAAAUCCUAUCACAAGGGGCAUCAGAAAGCAAAUAUUACCUCACCAUACCACCCUGGCCAUCUCCAUGGUGACGCUGGGCAAAGAGGCCAAGCAGAGGCUGCAGUAGCUUUUCGAGGGCAGCCAAUUUUCCAUCUGCUGGGGCUUUAUUCGUCUCAUGACUUACCUGGAACUAAAGAAUGGUAUAGAGCCUGGGAUGUCUGAGCCAAUCGUUUUGAGCCUGCUUUGGAGAUAAAGGACUAUUUGAUCAUCUGGAUUUGGAAGCCAUCAGUGGGCAGGAACAACAUGGAGGUGUCAAUUUGACUGGAUUCAGGGACAUGCAGAUAACUGCUGGUGAAGCAUUGUUUCUAGGUAUGUCUGUGAGGGUGUUCCAGAAGAGACUGGCAUUUGAAUAACUGGACCAGGAAGAUUCCCCCCUCACCCAGUGAAGGCCCAUACCAUCCAGUUGGCUCAGGGCCUGACAGAACAAAAAGGCAGAAGAAAGGCAAAUUUGCUCACUCUCUUCUGGAACUGGGACACCCAUCUUCUCCUGCCCUUGGACAUCAGAACUUCCAGGCCUCUGGACUCCAGGAGUUGUACCAGAUACUCCCCAGUUUUCAAGCCAUCAGCUUAGGACUGAGAGUUACACCGGUGGCUCCUCUGGUCCUCGGGCCCUUGAACUUGGACUGAGCCAUGCUACCAUCUUCCCUUGUUCAUCUUGCAGACAGGAUAUUGUGGGACUUCUCAGCCUCCAUAAUCAAAAACACUGUUGUGAGUCGAGUCCCCUCCCUGUGCUGGGCACUAUGCUGGACAAUGCAGGCACAAGGUGGUGAUCUUGCCACCCUUCCCUCCAGGUGAGAUAAUGACAGAUGAGGCAGCAAGUGUGAUUGGGUGAUCCAGACACCAAGAGAACAGCAUGAACAGAUGACUGCAGGGGCACCAGCAAGCAGCAGCUGGUUACUUGGGGGCAUGAUUUAGCAAUGGCUUCACAGAGGAGGUGAUGCUAGUAAGUUGAGGUGUGGUCACGAGGCAGGGAGGCAGAGAAGGGCAUUUCAUUGUAGGCCAACGGAUCAGGGUGGGCAAAGGCCCAGAAGUAUGGUGCAGGUAGGUGCAUUUGAGGAGGAGUGAGGAGUUUUGGGUGACUAGAGUGCAUAGUUCCCAUCAGCAGCAAAGGGAGGUAUGGGAGAGAUGUGGCUGGAGCAUGAGGCGGGCUUGGUCAUCCUGGAGGGCCUUGGAAACCAAGCCAAAAGUUUAGAUUUCAUCCUGGAGAGCAUUUAGAAAGAGCUGUCUGGCAGCAGCAUGGAGGGAUGAAUUGGAGGCAGGCGGGACCAGAAACAGAGAAUAAUUAGGAGACAGCUGCCAAAGUCCAAGCAAGACAACAGGAGGGAUCGAACCAUGAUUAGGACAUGCAGAGCAAAGAAGAAAGAAUGAAAACCAGAGGUAUCUCCUGUAGCACUUAGUAACUGGUGGAUCGAGGGAGGACUCUAGGUCCUGAUGGGGUGACUGAAUGAACAGUGGAUUAAUACACAACAUAGAGCAGGGUCUCAGUGACCACAGGUGGGCUGGACAAGUGCAAGCAGAGAGAAUGCAUGCCUUCCAAAGGGCACAGCUGUGCUCAGCUCCAGCUGAUCACUAAUGGUAACUGCAAUGGUUAUCUAUUGCUGGGUAACAAAUUACCCCAACACGUAUUGACUUAAAACACAAACAUAUUUUCUCACAGUUUUUGUGGGCCAGGAAUCCAGGCAUGGUUUAACUGGGUCCUGUAAUCCACGGUCUCUCACAAGAUAGUAAUCAAGGUGUCAGCUAUGUCUGUGGUCUUGGCUUAAGGUUCAACUGAGGGAGGAUCUACUUCUGAAUUCAUUCAUGUGGUUGUUGGCAGGCCUUAGGUCCUUGGUGGUCGGUGGCUGGUGGCAUUGGUUCCUUUUCAUGUGGGUCUCUCCUUAGGAAGGUCAGCACCCCUCCAGAGCAAGUGAAGAAGAAAGAUGGAAGGCAGUCUUUUUGUAACCCAAUCUCAGAAGUGACAUCCUAUCAUUGUUGCUGGAUUCUAUUAAUUAGAAGUGAGCCAAGUUCGCCCCACACUCGAGGAGAUUUGACAAAGGCAUGCAAACCAGGAGGUAAGCAUCACUGGAAACCACCUUAGUGACUACACUACAAUAUUCACCUUUGAGAAUACAACUCAGUGUUGGGCCUGCCUGAUUUUUCAAGAAAAAUUGGAGAUCUGAUUUUUAUGUGAAAUCUUCCAAUUUGAAACUACUGGCCCUUAAUCCCAACAAUUUUUUUUAUAUGUAUUUGGUCAAAUAAAACUCUCUCAAGCAUAAUCCAUCAAGACCAUUAUGAAUCCUCUGGUACAGGGACCAGAGAAACAGGAGCAGGAUUAGAGGGGAGGGAGCAGAGGUUAGGAUGUCUCCCUCGUUCUUUUACUUGAGGAAGUCGGCAGAGCCAAGUCAUUGUUAAAAUGACGGGAGCUUGAAAAACAUGAAUGCCAAUCAUUCGAUCCAGAUAACUGUAUUCGUAUAAAUUCUACAGUCAUGUUGGUAAAGAUGACUUGUUUUCAUUAAAGAGAAACCUUUGAUCUCUGAUCUGACAGCUGCACAUCUAUAUAAAAUGAGACACUUUGACAUCUGUAGCUCUGAUCUCAAUUGGACAGGUGGUUUCCUACACACUAAUGGAACAGAAAGACAAUUGAGCAUUAUUAGAUAGGAGAGAAUGUUCUCACAUACAGGAAAACAGCUUUUUCCUUUAAAAAAACGUGAUAAAGAACAGAAAAUGACUGACAGAAUCAGAGCUUCCCAAAUGUCAGAAGAGCUGUUUCAGCUACACUCUGGCCUCUGUUAGGGGAGAUUAGGUUAGUUUUCAGAAAAGUAUUGAACAUACCUUAGCAUUAGCUGACUCAGGGAGGAAUUUGCUGGUAAAAUAAGCAUGCUCUCAGAGUGUGCCAAAGAACUAAGAUGCAGCUUGGGUUUUUCAUAAACAAAGCAAACACUUUAGUGAAGCCUAAUUUAUACACAUUCACUGAAAAGUUUAGUAAUCAGGAAAACUUCUUAGUGGAAAACCUUUUUUGCGUCUUCAUGCAGCAAAUACUUGUGGAGUACACACAUGGCUAGAUGCUGGAGAUACUGUAGGAAAGAUAGCCAAGGUCACUCUGUCCCGGUGACUUACAGACUAGAGGACAAGGCGGAUAUGAAAUAAUGAUAAAAAACAAAACAAAACUCUGAGGCACAUUUUGUCAGAGGAAGUAGAGGUGCCAUGGGAGCUUCACCCCAAGGUGACCUAGCUCAAGCCAGUGACUUGGGGAAGGCAUCCAGAGAGCUCAAAGAUGAGUAAGAAUUGGCCAGUUCAAGGUGGUGAGGUAUUGGGGUAUUUGGGGGAGGCUUUGGGCUGUUUGCUGUUUAAAUGGUAACACAGGAAAUAUUUUUUACAUAUUUCACAUUCAACAUUGGAUUUUCUCUUCAUCACUCAAAUUAUUAUAGUACAUCCUGAAAAAAAAGCUCACAUUUGUACUAGAACUAUAAAGUAGAAAAUAAGCAUUUCUUAGAAUAUUAAUAACAGUGAGUUCUUUUGCCUAGAAAGCAAAUCCUAUAUUUUUAUCUCAUUUCUCUUGUCACAUAGAAGAAGCUAUGCAAAGCCAAAAGAUGAGCACACAUGAUAGAUGAGGUUGUGGAGAAACCUUAUGCACUGCUGCUGGAAUGUAAAAUGGUGCAGGCACUUUGGAAAACAGUCUGGCAGUUUCUCAAACAGGCACAGAAUUGCCACGUGACCCAACAAUUCCACUGCUAGGUACAUACACAAGAGAAAUGGAAACAUAUGUCCACACAAAAACCUCCACAUGAAUGUUUAUUCAAAAU
ensembl:lncRNA